rnacentral:rRNA from 1 species
GGAAGUCUGGUGCCAGCAGCCGCGGUAAUUCCAGCUCCAAUAGCGUAUAUUAAAGUUGUUGCAGUUAAAAAGCUCGUAGUUGAAUUUCGGGAUCAAUAUUUCGGUCAUGCCGUUGGUAUGCACUGUUAUCAUUGAUUUCUCACCUUCUAAAGAACCAUAAUGCCAUUAAUUUGGUGUUACGGGGAAUUAGGACUGUUACCUUGAAAAAAUUAGAGUGUUUAAAGCAGGCUCACGCUUGAAUACAUUAGCAUGGAAUAAUGAAAUAGGACAUCCGAUUCUAUUUUGUUGGUUUCUAGGAUCGAUGUAAUGAUUAAUAGGGAUAGUUGGGGGCAUUAGUAUUCAAUUGUCAGAGGUGAAAUUCUUGGAUUUAUUGAAGACUAACUACUGCGAAAGCAUUUGCCAAGGAUGUUUUCAUUAAUCAAGAACGAAAGUUAGGGGAUCGAAGACGAUCAGAUACCGUCGUAGUCUUAACCAUAAACUAUGCCGACUAGGGAUCGGACGGUGUUUCUAUUAUGACCCGUUCGGCGCCUUACGGGAAAC